GGGGCUGUAGCUCAGCUGGGAGAGCACCUGCUUUGCAAGCAGGGGGUCAGCGGUUCGAUCCCGCUCAGCUCCC
rnacentral:tRNA from 1 species